ensembl:snRNA U6 U6 spliceosomal RNA
GCCUUCUUUGGCAAUACAGAUAGAAAAAUUGGAUUGAUACGUAGAAGAUAAUCAUGGCCCCUGACCAAAGAUAACAUGCAAAAUUCAUGAAGCAUGCUAUAUAUUU